AUUGAACGCUGGCGGCAGGCCUAACACAUGCAAGUCGAGCGAGCGGCGGACGGGUGAGUAAUGUAUGGGGACUGCCCGAUAGAGGGGGAUAACUACUGGAAAAGGUGGCUAAUACCGCACACUGUCGGAUAACCCAUAUGGGAUUAGCUAGUAGGGAAGGUAAUGGCUUACCAAGGCGACGAUCCCGAGCUGGUCUGAGAGGAUGAUCAGCCACACUGGGACUGAGACACGGCCCAGACUCCUACGGAGGCAGCAGUGGGGAAUAUUGCACAAUGGGCGCAAGCCUGAUGCAGCCAUGCCGCGUGUAUGAAGAAGGCCUUCGGGUUGUAAAGUACUUUCAGUCGGGAGGCGUUACCGACAGAAGAAGCACCGGCUAACUACGUGCCAGCAGCCGCGGUAAUAC
rnacentral:rRNA from 1 species